rnacentral:rRNA from 1 species
GUAUAGUCUAGUUGACUUGGACGAGAGAAAAGUACUAGUCCUAGUAAACACACGACCACUUGCGUAGCUGUCCGAGGUGCGGAGAGGGACACGACAGGGCGAGCGCUCCUGCGACCGCCAUGCUCGCGCGUGGCCGUCCGGCCGCCGCCGGCCUGAUCUCCUAGCUCUCGCCUGCUCCGCGUCCGGCGAGACCAGAUCCAGUACCCUUGUCCCGCGCUCUGUCUUCUCCGCGAGCUCCCCUGCUCCUCCGUCUAGUGCUCUGCCUCCUUGGUGAUUUCCGGCGAUUUCCCGGUGACUGGCGUCAUGCCGCUUCUUCUCCUCCCCUUCCUUCUCUGAUCUCCUAUCUCAUCCCUCGUCUCCCGGAUUCCCUUCUCCUCUGUGUCUCCUCUCUACUUCCCCUUGUUCCCUCUAUCCAUCUUGCUCAUCCAGAUCCCCUUUUGUUGCUUCUCUGCUUCUUCCCUCCCGUGAUAUUCGCUGCCCUCCGAUUCUGUUAGUGACCUGCUGCUGCUCUCCACUUUCGCCACAGAUCCGGAGCUUCUGCCCAACGGCCUUAUUUUCGCAGAUCUGGCGUCUCCUUGCUGUGGGUGACCCCGGGCUCGCGCCGAGCCAGGAGAGUGGGGUGAGGAAGGCAGAGUUAUUUGUCUCGAUUCCAGAUAUCUUUUGGGCGCUAUGAGGGCCAUCGCCUGGAACUGCCGAGGUAUGGGCAGAAGCCUUGGUAGUGAGAGGAUGCUCUAUCUUGCCAACUUGAUGCGGUCUACGAAGACACAGUCAUCUUGUUUGGCAGGAUCUUUAAAAGUCUGGUGCAAGAAGAAAAAACCUCUCCAACAAGAACUUGCUGAGCUAGAAUCCAGAAUCAAGGAUUUGCAACAGCUGCCUCUCCACCAACAGGACCAUGUUUUGGAAAGUACUCUUACUAAUAGGCCUUUUUCUUCCCCUAUUUGGACUAAUGACAACAAUGAUCCUACUUAUUCUAUUCCGGACAAGACUGAACUUUUGCGGAUUCUUAAAGACAUGAAGCUUAAUGCUUCUCCUGGUCCUGAUGGGUUCAAUGUAGAAUUUUAUUUAGCUACUUGGGAUUGGAUUGGAGAUGAGGUAACUCAGCUUGUCACUCACUUCUAUAAUACUGCUACACUUCCCCCUCACAUCAAUGAUACCAAUAUUGCUCUUAUCCCUAAGAAGUUGGUUCCUCUUGUGCCCAUGGACUACCGUCCUAUUAGUCUUUGUAAUGUGCUUUAUAAAAUCAUUGCUAAGUCUCUUGCGAAUAGACUUAAGCAUCAUCUUCCUGAUUACAUUGACCAAGCUCAACAAGCAUUUAUUGAGGGUAGACGUAUUAGUGACAACGUUAUCAUUGCUCAGGAAAUUGCUCACUCGUUUUCUCUUAAAUCCUGAAAAUAUGAUGCCUUUAUGCUUAAGAUUGACCUUGCCAAAGCUUUUGAUGGUUUAGAAUGGAAUUUCAUUGUUUCUGCUCUGGCUCGUAAAGGGCUGCAUGGUCAUUUUGUUAAUUUGGUUCAUGCAUGCAUCUCAUCUCCCUCAUUCUCUGUUCUCAUUAAUGGCCAGCCCUCUCCUAAAUUUAAGAGCUUCAGAGGAAUACGACAAGGUUGUCCCAUGUCUCUUUACUUGUUUGUUCUUGCAAUUAAUGAACUUUCCAUCUUGCUUAAUGAAGCUUUGCAGGCUAACCAAUUGCAGGGAAUUUCUCUUGGACCAAACUGCCCCUCUGUCCAUUCUCUUCUAUUUGCAGAUGAUCUUCUGGUGUGUGGGCACGCUACUUAUCCGGAGGCUCAGACGAUGGCUAGUCUUAUUCAACACUUUUGUGCUCUUUCUGGUCAAACUCCUAUCUGGAAUAAAUCUGCCAUUCUCUUUAGCAAUCAUGUUUCUCAGAAUAUUAUUAAUAAUAUUAAUCAAGUCUUUCCCGUUGCUAAUCUUGAUGCUAAUUUCACUCAUCUUGGUCAUCCUCUAAUUUUGCCUGCUAAGAAUAGGGGUGCUGCUUAUAACUUUGUUUUGGAUAAAUUUUUAAAUAAGCUCCCCUCUUAUAAAGCUAACAUGCUAUCUCAUGCUGCCCGUCUUGAACUUAUUCGCUCUGUCUUUUCUGCUAUCCCUGUUUACUAUAUGGCAAACAUUCUGUUUUUAAAAAAAUUUAUUGGCAAGCUCACUUCUAUCAUUAGGAAUUUUUGGUGGACAGGGAUUAGAGAAACAGAUUCUGAGAGGAGUCUUUGUCUCAGAGCAUGGAAGGAUAUUACCAACUCCAAGUCUGAAGGUGGUCUUGGAAUCAGAAAUCUAAAAGCCGUCAAUGAGAGUCUUAUUCUUGCUGCGGCUUGGAGGUUAGCUAAAAACCCCUCCUCCCAAUUAUAUUGUGUCCUUCAAGCCAAAUAUUUUUCUACCACUUCUAUUUGGAAAGCUACUAAUAAUCCACCUAAAUCUGCCUUUUGGUCUUCCAUUUUAAAAAUGCUUCCUAAACUUAAAGAGCAUGCCUUCUAUCAACUCACCCAAGGUAAUGUUUCUAUUUGGAGCAUGCCUUGGUGCAAUCUUCGGAACUCUAUUCAUGAUUUUCUCAUUCCUCAACCAUCAGGCUUUAUUUAUCCCUCAUUGGUUAGGGAUCUUUGGCAGCCUGGGCAAAGGCAAUGGAACCGUCAGCUCAUUUUCUCUCUUUUUCAGCAACCUUUGGCUACUCAGAUUAUCAACAUUGAUAUUCUCGAUGAUGAUAAUGUUGAUAUUCUUUGUUGGCCUUUGGCUCCCAAUGGUAUUUGCUCUUCAAAAGCUGCUUAUAAACUUUGCUUACAAGACAUUCAUACUAAUCCUAGAACUGCUCCUCCGGAUGUUCCUUUGGAUUUGAAAGCUUUUCUUAAAACUAUUUGGAAGCAGAAAGAUUUAUUGCCCAAGGUUAAAACUUUUGCUUGGAGGAUGCUUAGCAAAGCUUUACCCACAGGAAUGAGAGCAGGCCGUUUUUCUAUUCACAUUUCGCAGAAUUGUUGUAGAUGUGCUCAGCAAGAAGAUGAGUUUCACCUUUUCUUUCUUUGUGACUUUGCUAGAGCGGCCUGGUUCUCUGCUCCUUGGUUUCUUAGAUCUGACAUCCUUGUGCAAGGUCACUCUUCAAUGCAUUCCCUUCUGAUUCACUUUGCUUCUAUGGGCCAUCCUUAUGCAUCUUUGCAUAAUAUUUUCAAUUUUAUGUGGUGCAUUUGGAAGGCUAGAAAUGAUUUCCUCUUUGAGAGGAAAUUUUCUUUUCCCUACCAAAUUAAAAUUGCUGCUACUAGUUUGAAUAAUAUUCUCCAAGAGGAGAUUCUGUCUUCUACUAAUAUUCAGUCUUUGCAGGCUUCUCAACACUAGUAGAAAACAGGGCUUUGGUCCAGGCUGGGUCAGCCCAUUAGUCCCGGUUCAGUCCAGAACCGGGACCAAUGUGGGCAUUGGUCCCGUUUCGUGAGCCCAGGGGGCCGGCCGGGCCACGUGGGCCAUUGGUCCCGAUUCAUCUGGACCUUUUGGUCCCGGUUGGUGGGAUGAACCGGGACCAAUGGGCCUCGCUCCUAGCCCACCACCAUUGGUCCUGGUUGGUGGCUUGAACCGGGACCAAAGGCUCCCCUUUAGUCCCGGCUCAUGUCACCAACCGGGACCAAUGAGGUGCCUAUAUAUACCCCUCGCUCGCGAGCAGAGCACCCCAGUGCUCUAUUUUUCUCUGGCCGAGGGGGAGAGGGCUUGGUGGUGCUCUAGCUCACCUCCUAUGCACACAAGGUGUUCGAUGGAAUGCCCGAGCCACACUACUUAAGCUUUCUCCUCUCCAAGCUCGACCUCCAAGCUCCAUUUUCCAUAAUAUUUGUCUAGGUUUAGCGGUCUGUCACGCCUCGUCCCCGUCUUCACCGCCGUUGAUCACCCGCGCCGAGCUCAUCGCCGGCACCACCGUGUGCGAUGGUUUUGGUAUCCGCCCCCGUCGGCCCUCGUCCUGUCUAUGAUUCGGAUGUGGAUGUAUGUGAAUCGGAAAUGCCAACCGAUCCUAUUGUCGAGAGGUUAAAUUUAGUUGAAGAUGAAAACAAUUUGUUGAAGGAAAAAAUAAAAAAAAUUGAGGAGGAGAAGAUGAUAUUGGAGUUGCAUGUUGCGGAUGUCGUCGAUGAUCACAAGAUCAAGAUGGAUGCAAUGCGCUUGAAGAUUAGAAAGAUUAGAAAAUAUGCCAUUCAUACCGAGGCUUGGUAUCAUUAUGCCAUUGGAUCAAUUGUUACCUUGGUUGCGAUUAUGAUCACAUUUGUUUUCGCAUUGAAAUGUUUUACAUAGUUUCAAUGUAUGGUUUAAUUAAUUAGAUGCUCUGGAGAGCUAUAUGUUGUUAGAUGAGAACUAUGUAUGCACUUUGGUUUUAAUGUGAUGAUGAACUUCUAUUAAUUUGGACACUUAAUUAUAUAUAAUGCACGAAGAUGAAC